CCUACGGGAGGCAGCAGUGAGGAAUAUUGGUCAAUGGACGAGAGUCUGAACCAGCCAAGUAGCGUGAAGGAUGACUGCCCUAUGGGUUGUAAACUUCUUUUAUAAAGGAAUAAAACGAGGCACGUGUGCCUUUUUGCAUGUACUUUAUGAAUAAGGAUCGGCUAACUCCGUGCCAGCAGCCGCGGUAAUACGGAGGAUCCGAGCGUUAUCCGGAUUUCUUGGGUUUAAAGGGAGCGUAGAUGGGUUGUUAAGUCAGUUGUGAAAGUUUGCGGCUCAACCGUAAAAUUGCAAUUGAUACUGGCAGUCUUGAGUACAGUUGAGGUAGGCGGAAUUCGUGGUGUAGCGGUGAAAUGCUUAGAUAUCACGAAGAACCCCGAUUGCGAAGGCAGCUUACUAAACUGUGACUGACAUUGAUGCUCGAAAGUGUGGGUAUCAAACAGGGUUAGAUACCCCUGUAGUC
rnacentral:rRNA from 1 species